GACGAACGCUGGCGGCGUGCCUAACACAUGCAAGUCGAGCGGGGUUGAAGCGAGGGGUAACUCGAGUUUCUACCUAGCGGCGGACGGGUGAGUAACGCGUGGGCAACCUGCCUCAAGGACUGGGAUAACAGCUCGAAAGGGCUGCUAAUACCGGAUAAGCCUAUGGCCUCGCAUGGGGCCAUGAGCAAAGGGGAAACCCGCCUUGAGAUGGGCCCGCGUCCCAUCAGCUAGUUGGUGAGGUGAAGGCUCACCAAGGCGACGACGGGUAGCCGGCCUGAGAGGGUGACCGGCCACACUGGGACUGAGACACGGCCCAGACUCCUACGGGGGGCAGCAGUGGGGAAUCUUGCACAAUGGGCGAAAGCCUGAUGCAGCGACGCCGCGUGAGCGAAGAAGGCCUCGGUUGUAAAGCUCUGUCUGAGGGACGAAGGAAGUGACGGUACCUCCGGAGGAAGCCACGGCUAACUACGUGCCAGCAGCCGCGGUAAACGUAGCGUG
rnacentral:rRNA from 1 species